AUACCACAUGAAACCACAUGAAACCCAGCAGCAGUAACACAGCUGACAGUUCGUCUAGUUUGACUCGUUUUAAACACGCGACAUUGAUCGUUUGUUUCGCCGUACAUGGUGAAAACAGAUUCUGGGAUUUUAUGAUUGGCUGCAACAGAAAGUAUAAAUAAGGAAGUGAGGAAGCUCCCAGGAGCAGACGGCGACACCACCCGACGCUGCCUGGACCUCCAGACCGACAGACACUCAGUGGACACGCCCUUCACACCGAGCUGUGCACAUCAGAGAAAUACGCAGCAAAACCACAGGAACUAUGGGUGACCAGGCGGCAGACAAAGAC